CCCGGUCCUCGGUAGUAGGGAUUGGUGUCCUCCCCGGAGGACCGACGCCAGCAGGCGGCACGCCUCCCGGACACCAGUCGCUUCGAUCGAAGAUCGGC
rfam:Marmoricola sp. Leaf446 contig_4, whole genome shotgun sequence.